CACAUCCAACACCUCCUCCCAGGACUGUGUGAUCCCUAUUGACAACCAGUAAUUGUUUUCACAUAACCAGAAAACCCGAUCUCUAGCUCAAGCCCUGUUUUAACUUAGCUGCCUCCUGUGCUUACAUAAGUUACUUAUUCUCUCUAGAUCUCAAUUUUCCCAUCUAUCAACCAUGGAUGCUAUAACCUGUCUUUUUAUCUAAUAGGGUUGCUGAGAUUCAAGAAUGAUAGCAAAUUUUAAGACACUUUGUGAACAGAAAACAAGUAAUAGGAGUUACGAUGUAAGGCCUUCAACUUUGUUAUUGAAGUAUAAGCUAACAAAGUCCACAUCCUAUCCCAAGAAGGAACAGUAGAGCUUACUCACAGUCUCCUUUGCCUCUGGGCAUCUCAAAAGGACAACUUGAAAAACUGUAAAUGUGUUCAUUGCUUUUGAGAGAGUCACAAAAAGUUUAGGGAGUGGCUUAAGCCCAAGAAAAUUAAGCAGGUUGUGGAAGAGGAUAGAGAUCAUUGCACUGGAUUUAGCAAAAGAUGAUAAAGUGUUUCCCAAUUGACAGAUGUAGACCUUGAAGAAGAGGAAGACAAAGUGGGCUGCUCUUGCUUCCUGUGUACUAGGAUCACUGAGAGGGAUGGUGUGCGGGAGGUCUAGACGUAUGUGCUAAGUUGCUAACAGCUGCUGAAAGAACUAAAGGAACCACUGGAAUAGAAAUGCAGCCUCCCAAGGCAAGACUCUUCUUGACAUGCAAGGUCCCCAGCAAUGACUGUAACCAACAACAAAUGACAGCAUCCCAAGAGGAAAUGCAACACUAUGGACAGAAAGAAAUAGUCAAGAAUGUUAAGAAAUGCAUCUUCGCUCUGACCUGUGAGAACUGCAAUGACGUGUAUUAAAGUUUAAUCUGAAAUUUCUCUAACCCGCUACCUUACUUCCAAACUACAAACCAUGAUACAUAUCAUUCACCUUCUAAACAGUAAGAAAUCCACAUUUUGUUAAAAAAAAAAAAAAAGCACCUGUAACAUAUUUUAAAUUAAAAUCUAUUAAAAUUGUCUCCAUAUCAAUAUAAAACAUAACAAUAUUUGUGUGUGUCUGUGUGUACAUACAUAUACACAGUUUUGGGGAUCGAUCUCAUUUCAUCAAAUCAUUUAAAAUACUUCUCUGCUCUGUUAGUACAAAAAACAACUUUCUUCACUCAACAAUCUCUUCAUUUUUUCAAAUCAAUAUUUAUUUGAAGUUUACCUACUAUGUGCCAAGAAUUGUGUUAGGUACUGGCAAUGAGGAAGAAAGAUACAGUCCCCCAACUCCAGGGUUUGUAGGACGGUGUCAGAAUAGGCAAUGCACAAACGAACAAAUAUGAUUUACAAAUAGUUGUCGUAUCCUGUGAAGAAACAAAGUGCCAGGAAACACUGGAAAGGGAAGCUAGUCCAGCUAAGUCACUCAUGAAAGGCCCUUUGAGAACAUAAUGUUAACACAGAGAACUGUAUUGACAUGAACCAGCAAAGGAUACAAAAAGGAACAUUCCAAUAGUGACAGAAAAGAGCUCAGCAUCUUCAAACAUUCCAUUAGUCAGUAUGGCAAGAAGAGUGAGCAAAAGGAGAGAGUGGCAUGAGAUGAGUUAGGCAGGGGCCAGACCAGCCAGGACCUCCUGGGCCAAGAAAAGGUGCUUAGGUUUUACUCGAAGUACAAGGGAAGCCUAAUUGGGAAAGUGAGAGGGUGUAUAAUUUAUACUUUUAUAUCCAUUCUAGCUAUUGGAUGGAAAAUAGAUUGGAAAAGAUUGGGAUGGAGUGGGAGCUGUAGAGAUAGAGAAGAGUAGAAAGGAUUUAGAGAGGGAAAAGGAGAAGACAGGGAGAGAGGCUUUUCACAAAUAAAAUAACUUUUGUGCAAAAGUAUGUGAAUAAUUCAUGCUCAUCUGCGUGUUUAGGUAUCAAACAAAAAAAAUGAGGGGGUAAAACAAUAUUUCAAAUUCUAUCAGAUAGAAACAUUAC
ensembl:lncRNA